UCAGCGCCUCAGCCGAUUAACGGCCUCAGAGAAAUGAGAGUGAUUCAUUUGCCAGAUGUCACGCGAGUAAACACAAGAACAGGCGUCAUACCAGACAUCCGCAUGCUCUGGGUGGGUUCCUGGAAGCGUAGAAAACGAGACCAGAUUUUGCCGAGUGAACUGAAGGUGAGAUUCUUAUCCUGGGACAAAGAAAAACCCUGGGAGCUUACCCGACGCUACAGGUUCCACUCAAUAUUAAAGACGAGCCAGGCGUGUCUGCUGUACAUCGCUCACCACCAGGGACAUGUCCUUGUACUAAUGAGCCGGUCGCAUUGCUUGGAAGUUUUCCGACUCUACCCCAAGUGUCGUCGUUUGAAAAGAACGUGCGUGAAGCUGUCGAAAUCGAUGUUUUAUAUUGCUGCGAUGGCAGUGCAUGAAGAUUAUUUGGUUUUCCAUGUCCACAUGAUCAAAGGCAAAUAUGCCCUGCAGCUCCAUAGGAUCAUACCACUGUCUCAUAAGUUGGUGACAAAGUUUCCGCGAUACGUCCAUGGGAAGCGCUCCUGUAUGAUAGGAGCGAAGAUCAUAAUUAGUGACAAGGGACAGAUAGCAGUGAUACACUCGGCGUUUUUUAUCCUCACUUGGAUUCACAAGCCCAAGCAGAUCUUCAUCACCCGACAAAAGGACAUGAAAUUAUUCAGGAGAUGGGUCACAAAACGGCGAAUGGACGUCAAGACGCCAUUUUGGUCACCUAACCGGAAGUGGAUACAGUUCUAUAUGUCGGCAGGGUCACCCAGGUGUGCCGCUUUUUACAGGAUCAAUUUUAGAAAUGACCUGGAUUUAAUUUUAUCAGUUCAGAAAUUUUCUACAGGUAAUGUCCACGGGUUUCAUCAAAAUACGUUUGCUUUUGUGAUGUAUACAAACAUGAGUGGUUAUAGCCUUGGAUUUUUCUCAAGACAACUGAUUGUUUAUUCGGUUCAGUGAUCAUCUACAUCAAAAGAUAUAGUCACAAAAAAUAAGGUUUUUGUAUAUUUAUCACAGAUGGUUACAUUUUUCAAGGAUGAUAUCCGGUCAAUUAAGAGCUAUAUGUCGCGAUGCUCGAAACGGCAUCAUCCCUUCUAUGCAUGGAUUCUAUUCCAUUCCGUGGCUUCCGACGGACCGAAAGUCGCAGUCGUCAAGUUGAAAAUAUAGUCUUAGAUCAGGUGUCACUUAAAGAGUCAACUAACUGAAGGAGUUCAGUGCAUUAUUUACUGAAUUGUACACAGCGCCCCAUCCAACCGUGAAGUACACCGCCAGAGCUAUGCCAACGCCCAGGACGGUCAGGACGACUCCAGUGAUGUUGAGACCAAGAGCGCACUUGCCGGCUUUCUUGGCUUCCUUGAGAUCAUCCCUCUCCGCGGCGCGCCUGGACCCCAUGGACAUACAGAUCGCGAUGCCCCCGCAGAGAGGAUUGAAGAGGAGGCAGACGCAGAUGGAGAAGGCCAGGUAGUUGUUGGGUUUUUCGG